CCUACGGGUGGCAACAGUGGGGAAUAUUGGACAAUGGGCGAAAGCCUGAUCCAGCCAUGCCGCGUGUGUGAAGAAGGCCUUCGGGUUGUAAAGCACUUUCAGUGGGGAAGAAAGCCUUGGGGCUAAUACCCUCGAGGAAGGACAUCACCCACAGAAGAAGCACCGGCUAACUCCGUGCCAGCAGCCGCGGUAAUACGGAGGGUGCGAGCGUUAAUCGGAAUUACUGGGCGUAAAGUGCGCGUAGGCGGUCUGAUAAGCCGGUUGUGAAAGCCCCGGGCUCAACCUGGGAACGGCAUCCGGAACUGUCAGGCUAGAGUGCAGGAGAGGAAGGUAGAAUUCCCGGUGUAGCGGUGAAAUGCGUAGAGAUCGGGAGGAAUACCAGUGGCGAAGGCGGCCUUCUGGACUGACACUGACGCUGAGGUGCGAAAGCGUGGGUAGCAAACAGGAUUAGAUACCCUGGUAGUC
rnacentral:rRNA from 1 species